GCCGCGGUAGCUCAGUUGGUAAGAGCAUUGCACGUGUAAUGCGAUGACGUGGGUUCAUAUCCCACCUGCGGCC